CAUUUCCUUCUCUAGGGAAUCUUCCUGGCCCAGGGAUCAAACCUGGGUCUCCUGCAUUGCAGGCAGUUUCUUUAUCAUCUGAGCCACUAAGAAUCAUUGAAAAUCACUAAGAUCUUGGAAAAAAAAAAGUAUUACUUUAAAACCUAUCAUAAAAUCAUUAAAUUGCUAACAGCAUAGUAAGACAUACCCAGGCCAAAACUUAAGGGAAAUUAGGAACCUGAGAAGGUAAAUAAGUGCAAAAGCUGCAUUUGCCCUGUUAGUAUCUGCCAAUCCCUAUAUAUUUACAUGUUUAUUUUUAUAUUUUCAGGGAUCAAGAGAGACAGAAAUCAAAGCCCAGACCCAUAUACAAUGGGAAGUCUGACAAGCAUGGACCCCAAGACUACAUCCUUAGAAAAAAGAGCUGUGAAAAUCCACAGAAGAUGAAGAUGCAAUGGAGGAUUCAAUAGGUGGAGCUGAAAAUGGUAAAAUGAAGAAAACGAACUCACAGAUACGGUAGAAGAUAAAAAGGAAGAUAUAUCUGGUGAACUAGAAGCCUCACCAAGGGCAGACCCAACCACCUCAUUUGAGAAGGCUUUCCAGUCAAUAACACUGUGAAGUUCCUGGUAGGCUUUUCAAACAAAAGAGUUCAGAAGACCUUAUUGCUGAAUUCCCAGAUGCUUCAUUCCAACAUUCUUGAAAUUGUUGGUUAUAGAUCCAAAAUAUCACAGUUCUACCUCUGAA